rnacentral:lncRNA from 10 species
GCGUAGGACCCUCCGAGCCAGUGAGAUGAACCCGGUACCUCAGCUGGAAAUGCAGAAAUCACCCGUCUUCUGCGUCGCUCACGCUGGGAGCUGUAGACUGGAGCUGUAGACAGGAGCUGUUCCUAUUCGGGCAUCUUGGCUCCUCCUUGAAAACAAGCCCUGGAAAAACAAAGAAUGGAACACCCCUCCGCUGACUUCAACCAACUGCCUGCUGAUGCGGCCUGACUCCCAGCCCUUUUUGCAGUUUUGAAGUGACAAACUGACUAGGCUACAAAGUAUUCAACCAUGGGCUGGUUCUGGCUGGUUCACCGAGGCUGUGUACAAAGUGUCUUCAUGUCCUGUGUUUCACCUUUUAACAUACAGAACCUAAUUUUACUGCAUUUUAAUGUUAAUUCUCCACUCGAAGGUGAACAUGGGAUGUAUGUAACACAUAUGUUUGCUUAUCAAGCACACAUAUGACCCCCUUUCAUGAAUAUUCAUAGUUCCCCCUGUGACCUGUUGAAUAUGUCUGUUUAGCCAACCUGUUUGGCAUAAAACUCCUAUCCCACCCUAUCUCCCUCAAAGUACCUGUUUGUGGUCUCAGCUGGAGGUGCCACUUCCCAGCCUGCAGUUUGCAACCCUUCUCAAGAAAUAAAGUCUUCC